CAGCCGCCGCGGGAACACGAAGGGGGCUAGCGUUGCUCGGAAUUACUGGGCGUAAAGCGUGCGUAGGCGGUGAGUUAAGUCUGCUGUGAAAUCCCCGGGCUCAACCUGGGAAUGGCAGUGGAUACUGGCUCGCUAGAGUGUGUCAGAGGAUGGUGGAAUUCCCGGUGUAGCGGUGAAAUGCGUAGAGAUCGGGAGGAACAUCAGUGGCGAAGGCGGCCAUCUGGGACAACACUGACGCUGAGGCACGAAAGCGUGGGGAGCAAACAGGAUUAGAUACCCCAAUAGUCCCUGUCUCUUAUAC
rnacentral:rRNA from 1 species